UACGUAGGGGCCGAGCGUUGUCCGGAGUUAUUGGGCGUAAAGCGCGCGCAGGCGGCUUCGCGCGUCCGACGUGAAAGCCCCCGGCUCAACCGGGGAGGGUCGUUGGGUACGGCGGAGCUUGAGGGCGGUAGAGGUUGGUGGAAUUCCCGGUGUAGUGGUGAAAUGCGUAGAGAUCGGGAGGAACACCCGUGGCGAAGGCGGCCAACUGGGCCGACCCUGACGCUGAGGCGCGAAGGCGUGGGGAGCGAACGGG
rnacentral:rRNA from 1 species